rnacentral:rRNA from 1 species
AAUCAACGCUGGCGGCGUGCCUCAGACAUGCAAGUCGAACGCGAAAGGUUCCUUCGGGAACCGAGUAGAGUGGCGCACGGGUGAGUAACACGUAGGUAAUUUGCCUUUGGGUGGGGAAUAACAGCCGGAAACGGCUGCUAAUACCGCAUAAUGCAGCGGCUCGACAUCGAGACAGUUGUUAAAGCGGGGGAUCGCAAGACCUCGCGCCUAAAGAGAAGCCUGCGGCAGAUAGCUAGUUGGUAGGGUAAUGGCCUACCAAGGCGACGAUCUGUAACCGGCCUGAGAGGGCGGUCGGUCACACUGACACUGACAUACGGGUCAGACUCC